rnacentral:rRNA from 1 species
GACGAACGCUGGCGGCGUGCUUAACACAUGCAAGUCGAGCGGAAAGGCCCUUUCGGGGGUACUCGAGCGGCGAACGGGUGAGUAACACGUGAGUAAUCUGCCCUUCACUUUGGGAUAACCCCCGGAAACGGGAGCUAAUACCGGAUAUGACCGGCAACCGCAUGGUUUGUUGGUGGAAACUUUUUUGGGUGGGGGAUGUGCUCGCGGCCUAUCAGCUUGUUGGUGGGGUAAUGGCCUACCAAGGCUUUGACGGGUAGCCGGCCUGCGAGGGUGACCGGCCACACUGGGACUGAGACACGGCCCAGACUCCUACGGGAGGCAGCAGUGGGGAAUAUUGGACAAUGGGCGGAAGCCUGAUCCAGCAACGCCGCGUGAGGGAUGACGGCCUUCGGGUUGUAAACCUCUUUCAGCACCGACGAAGCGUGAGUGACGGUAGGUGCAGAAGAAGGACCGGCCAACUACGUGCCAGCAGCCGCCGUAAAAC